UGUCUCGGCUGUUUUGUGGUGAGAAGACAUGAAGCAAAGACACACAACAAUAAAUGAAGAUUUGUAAACCUCCAGUGACAUCAAGAAACCAACCUGUUCCGGAUGAAAAUGAGAGAAGUUAUCUGUGUAGUGAAAAGUGUUUACCUUGUUGAAGCUUAGCAGUCGUCCACUUGGGCU